AUUAUAUAUUUAUUUUUAUUUAUUUUGUUUAUAUUAUAUAAAAUAAGAAAAUUUAAGUUUAAUUAUUUAUUAGAAAAAAUAUUUUUUAUUAUAGUUUAUUAGUAUUGUUAAAGAAAUUUAUUAUUUAUUUUAAAGAAAAAUUAAUUUUUGUACCUUGUGUAUCAGGGUUAAUUAAUUAAUAAAUUUAAUAUUAAUUAUUCUCGAAUUUAAAAGAGCUAAUUAUUUAAAAAUUUUAUUGUUAAAUAAAUAUUUAAAAUAAAUAAUUAGUAAUGAAACGUUAUUCGUUUUUAAAUAUAUCUAGUUUUUAAAGAAAAAAGUUUAAUUUGUUUAUUUAUGAUUAUCAAUUUAUUUUAAAUAAUUUUUUAUUGUAAAUAGGUUAUAUUUUUAGGGAUAAGCUUAAAAAUAAAAUAUUAUAAGUUUUAAUUAAUAUUAAUAAAUUGUAGGAUUAGAAUUUUCUAUCAGUAAUAAAAUGUUAUAAUUAAUUUUUGAUUUAUAAUAUUUAUAUAAAUUUUAAAUUUAUAUUUAAAAAUAAAUUUUAAUUUUUUAUAUUUAGUUAUUAUGAUUAAAUUAGUAUAUUUAUUAUUAUAUAAUUAUUAAAAAUUUUUAAUUAAGUAAAGGAAUUCGACAAAAUAGUUUUUCACCUGUUUAUUAAAAACAUGUCUUUUUGAUUAAUAAUUUAAAGUCUAGCCUGCCCACUGAUUUUUUAAAUGGCCGCGGUAUUUUGACCGUGCAAAGGUAGCAUAAUCAUUAGUUUUUUAAUUGAAAGCUGGAAUGAAGGGUUGAAUGAAGAAAAAGUUGUCUCUAUUUAAUAUUUAUAAUUUUAUUUUUAAGUUAAAAAGCUUAAAUUAAUUAAAAAGACGAGAAGACCCUAUAGAGUUUAAUAUUUUUAUUUAUUAAUAUUUUUAGUAUAUAUAUAUAUAUAUUAAUUUUUAAAAUUAUUUAGUUGGGGUGAUUUAAAAAUUUAUAAAACUUUUUAUAUUUAAGAACAUUAAUUUAUGAUUUAUUGAUCCAAUAUUUUUGAUUAAAAGAUUAAAUUACCUUAGGGAUAACAGCGUUAUUUUUUUUGAGAGUUCAAAUCGAAAAAAAAGUUUGCGACCUCGAUGUUGGAUUAAAAUUAAUUUUUGGUGUAGAAGCUAAGAAUUUUAGUCUGUUCGACUAUUAAAAUUUUACAUGAUCUGAGUUUAAACCGGUGUGAGCCAGGUUGGUUUCUAUCUUUUAUUUAAUAAAAUAUUUUAGUACGAAAGGACCAAGUAUUUGAUUUAAAAUUUAAAAUUAGAUAAAAAU
rnacentral:rRNA from 1 species